UACGGAGGGUGCAAGCGUUGUCCGGAUUUAUUGGGUUUAAAGGGUGCGUAGGCGGUUUUGUAAGUCAGUGGUGAAAGCUAGCAGCUUAACUGUUAAACUGCCAUUGAUACUGCAAAGCUUGAGUUCAGAUGAGGUAGGCGGAAUUUAUAGUGUAGCGGUGAAAUGCUUAGAUACUAUAAAGAACUCCGAUAGCGUAGGCAGCUUACUAAACUGAUACUGACGCUGAGGCACGAAAGUGUGGGGAUCAAACAGG
rnacentral:rRNA from 1 species